rnacentral:rRNA from 1 species
AGCGCAGGCGGGAAGACAAGUUGGAAGUGAAAUCUAUGGGCUCAACCCAUAAACUGCUUUCAAAACUGUUUUUCUUGAGUAGUGCAGAGGUAGGCGGAAUUCCCGGUGUAGCGGUGUAAUGCGUAGAUAUCGGGAGGAACACCAGUGGCGAAGGCGGCCUACUGGGCACCAACUGACGCUGAGGCUCGAAAGUGUGGGUAGCAAACA